rnacentral:lncRNA from 1 species
AUUAAUUAAUCAGGAAAAUUUAAGGAGAAGAUUAAUAUAUCAUCGGUGAGCACUCAGACGCUUAUGUUGAUAAGCAACAACACCACGAAUUCCCCAAUGAGUCCAAGCACCGGCGAAAACACGAUGUUAAGAAGCGUGGGAAUGCCGGCGAGGAUGCCGGUGGCGGAGCAUAGGAUCGGGCAGACUGUGUGGUUGAGCGGAAGAUUGACGAAGACAACGCACGGUAGGCCUGAGCCGAUAAUGGAGGGGAUAAGGCCUAUCGAAGCUAUUACGUUGGGAACACUAAUGUUGUAGAUUCCGUUCACGUUGGUGACGCCCUGCCCCACCGUGAUUGAUCCGCCGGCGAAUGGGGAUGUGCAGUUCAUCUGCACCAACACUCCGGGAAUUCCAGUAGCGCCGGCCGGACAGUUUCCGGUGGACGUACAACAAAGUUUGCCGUUUACAGUGAUCCCAUUCAAUUGGCCGUGGGCCAGAGGAGUUGCGGAGGCGAAGAGGAGGAGAACCACCACGACGAAGGCGGGAGCUUGGU